CCACCGGUCACUAAAAGUCUAGUAACAAACUGUAAACCAGUAACUGACAAAAUCCACAAAGCAUAUAAGGACAAAAACAAAUAUAGGUUUGAAAUCAUGGGAGAAGAAGAAAUCGCUUUUAAAAUGAUUCGUACCAACGUUUCUCAUGUGGUUGGCCAGUUGGAUGACAUAAGAAAAAACCCUAGGAUCUCACUCUGUUGUCCAAGCUGGAAUGCAGUAAUGCAAACAUGGCUCACUGUAGCCUCGACCUCGUGGGCUCAAGCAAUCCUCCCACCUCAGCCUCCUGACUAGUGGAACCACAGACAUGAGCUGCUGCACCCAGCUAAAAUGGAGAAGUUUGUUUGCCUGAAUGACAACAUUGACCACAAUCAUAAAGAUGCUCAGACAGUGAAGGCUGUUCUCAGGGACUUCUAUGAAUCCAUGUUCCCCAUACCUUCCCAAUUUGAACUGCCAAGAGAGUAUCGAAACCGUUUCCUUCAUAUGCAUGAGCUGCAGGAAUGGAGGGCUUAUCGAGACAAAUUGAAGUUUUGGACCCAUUGUGUACUAGCAA
rnacentral:lncRNA from 1 species